GGGGGCUGUGCCGGGGGGUCCACUGAAGCCCUGUCCCCUGUGAGGGAUGCCCAGUGUGGCUGUGUAACUCCAGCCCUGGCAUUUCUGGCUGGCUGGGAAGGGGCAGAGCUGAGCUGGCGUGAGGAGGAAGAGGGUGAUGAAGGAGCAAGUGGCUGAUGGGGAAAAUGGAGGCUGAGCUGUGUUUCUGCUCCCCCUUUGAGUGUGAGCAAAGUUAGGAGAGCAGAGGGUGCCCUGGGAAGAAGUCUGGCUCGGCCCUGGGGCUUUUUCAAGCCAUGCCCAUGGAUGGUCCUCUCUUGGUCCUCCCUUAGACCUCUCCUUAAUCCUCUUCUUGCUCCUCUUGCCAUCUUGGGCAAUGCCUGGCUGUCCCCAGGUCCCACAUUGGUGGUCUUGGCCCCCCCAGCCAGUGUUGUUCAUGGUGCCCCUUCCUUGGUGUCAGUCCCAGAUGACUGACAGGCAUGGGCUGCUCAAGGUCCCUGCUUGGGGUGUCUGGGGGGUCUGCAGUUGACCCCCCCACACACACACACAUGCAGGCACUACUGGGGACUGUGUUGCCUUUCUCUCACAGACUCUGUCCAUCCCCUGUGUCACAGAGGGAUGCUGCAACAGGACUCCCCUUUUCCUGGAAGAAACCCACCCUCAUGCCUGGCCAUCUCCAAGUCUGGGAAUGGCCCUGGCAAGGACAAGACAUGGUUAUACACUUUUCUAUUUCACCAGAGUUGAACCUGUCUAUCCGUCCUUUUGCUCAAGCCAAGAACUUGGAUUCCCAGAGGAAAUCUGGCUGAAGGCCUUCAAGGGACUUUGCCAGCUGUGUCCUGUCAGGGCUGACGGCUUCUUCCCAUGGGCAGGUCCUUCCCUACCACCCAGGGAUGCACAGCAGGGUUUAAAGCUCCUUCAUCCCACACCCCAGCUGCGGGUGCGCUGUCGGGGACCGCUGCUGUCCCCGGGGGAGGUGGCAUCCUCCCGGCUGCCAGAUCACCCCAGCUGGCAGCCCAGGCUCGGGGAGCACAGGGAGGGCUGGCGCCUGCGCUCAGGAAGGCGGUGAGCUCACGGGUUUAAUUUUCUCAAGCCUUCGUUCUGCUCUGACAUGUGAUCCCCUCUACAGGAAGGACGCGGCGAAUGCGCCGUCCCCCGGGGCUGGCUGGCUCGACCUUGUGGGAAGAGGCUCCUUUCCAUGGGCUCAAUUCCCUGUUCUCACCUCUGUGAGCUCUCCAGGACCUCUGGAAUGGAGGUUCCUUGGGCAUGGCUUUGCUGGAUAUGGCUCUCCAGGCUUGGCUUCCAGGAUAUGGCUCUCCAGUCUCAGUUCUCCAGGCACACCUUGCUGGAGGUGACUCUCCAGGCUGGGUUCUCCAGGUCCCCCUUGCCAGAGGUGUAUCCCAGGCUCGAUGCCUCAGUGGUGGUUCCCAGCCGGCUCCCGGGGCUCUCCCAUCAGCCCGGUGCCAGCAGAGGGCCUCCCUUACCAGCACAGCACCGACUGGAAAUUAUAAAACACAUUAUCUAUUUGGCAAAACUUUGUGCAAGGACCAGGAAAAGGGCUGGAAUCCGUUCUCCUCCAGGAGACCGGAGACAGCGAGUCCCCUCCGGCUUCUGUUUUCAAUGCCAGCACUCAGCCGCGCUAAAGCCGUGGGAGCGUUCGUCAUUAAAAUGGCAAUUGCGGAGCCAGGCAAUAAAUUUAACAUCAUAAAAGGC